CCUACUGGGGCAGCAGUGGGGAAUAUUGCACAAUGGGCGCAAGCCUGAUGCAGCCAUGCCGCGUGUGUGAAGCAGGCCUUCGGGUUGUAAAGCACUUUCAGCGGGGAGGAAGGCGUUAAGGUUAAUAACCUUGGCGAUUGACGUUACCCGCAGAAGAAGCACCGGCUAACUCCGUGCCAGCAGCCGCGGUAAUACGGAGGGUGCAAGCGUUAAUCGGAAUUACUGGGCGUAAAGCGCACGCAGGCGGUCUGUCAAGUCGGAUGUGAAAUCCCCGGGCUCAACCUGGGAACUGCAUUCGAAACUGGCAGGCUAGAGUCUUGUAGAGGGGGGUAGAAUUCCAGGUGUAGCGGUGAAAUGCGUAGAGAUCUGGAGGAAUACCGGUGGCGAAGGCGGCCCCCUGGACAAAGACUGACGCUCAGGUGCGAAAGCGUGGGGAGCAAACAGGAUUAGAUACCCGGGUAGUC
rnacentral:rRNA from 1 species